GAAAGUUGUGGGUGUGCAUAUAUAUUCAGUCUUGAAAUGCUACUUGAUGUAUCUUGAAGAACCAGAGAAGAGAUGAGCACAGCUGCAUAAUCUACAGUGACAGAAAUUGGGAUCAGAUACCUUCACCAUAGACCGAAAAGAAGAGAUGCCAUGUGUGGAUAAGCAUUUGGCAUAUGGGAAAGAAAAGGACAUAAGAACAUGCCAUUCAGGAUUAAACAAAGCCAGGCUUCCUUAUCCUAUGAGCGCUUCAGCAAGAAUACUUACAGCCACACCUACUGAUUAUACUAAAUACAGCAACAGUAUGAUAGGCUUUCCUACAAAACAGCCUCACCUUGCCUACCUAUCAAGCCACCACUCCGACGGGCUAAUUCAAAGGCACUCACUUGGCAGACACGUUCACAGCUGCUUUCCCAUAUAAUUCACAAAUGCUGGAAAAUGAGGGGAACGGGGGAAGCUCGUUAAUUCUGAAGCACGUGGUCAGCAGUGGACACCUCAAAAACACCACAGAAGUGAGUGUCUGUUCUGGAAACAGGAAGAGAAUCAAGACCAUGAGCUGAAGAGGGCUGUUAAAGUGCCAAAGGGGAGAUUCACUAGCCAACAGCAUCUUCCAGACCUACCGGAGGCCACCAGGAGGGCUCGCAGAAAAUGUCACAGCAAAACCCUUUGACAGACUGCACAGUGCUCUAAACGCUCGGCUAGCUGUUGUGGAGGAAGAUGCCACGCAUCUAUCUUCUGGAAUGCCUCUGAACACAGUUAAAUGUCUUUGUCCCAAGGACACAAUCAAUACUUUUUCUGCCUGCGCUGCUCUCGGAGCUUCAUUAAAGAAAUCACCUAGGAUUUGUUCUCCGCAUGAGCUUAUUACCAGUUGGGAUUUAGAGACUGCUUGGGAGAAGUCCCAGUUCCUAUACCUUGGGACAGGCUAGAAUUGAACAGGGGGAACUGGCACAACUGAUAUUCUGUCUACUAUCCUUGUCUGAGCUCCUGUGAUGGGAGAAACUACCAACUACAUACCAGGACCAAGAUCACGACACUGAGAUUGAAGAAGAAGAAUGCUGUCGUCAUGACCUGCACCAGCAGAGUGAUCUUCACGGACCUCAUACAGGCCUGAUCCAAAGCAGGUUUGGAUUUAUGGGGAAUGAAAGAUACAUUAACUUUGUGUGGCUGAAGCAGCUAUAAAAAUAGAGAGGUUAACAGCAGCGGACUAUUGUGAAGAAGUCGUCACAACUGCCACCAUCUGAAGGCCUUUAUGUGCUCCAGGGGGUCCUCAUGCCUAGCAGGAGUAAUACAAGACAUAAGCUUCACAACUGCAGCCUUUCCACCUGAUUGUAAGUAAACUGGCAAUGCAUCAUCAAGUAUGUAAAUUGUGCUCAGACUAACGAACAAUGACAGGAAAAAAAUGCUCAUAUAACCCUGAAACAUCCUACAGCUUUUACAAGAGGGUGUCUUUGGGAAAAAAAAGUUAUUGUAAAAAAUAAAUAAAUGUACCUAUUAACUAUAUAAUUUAAAAGAAAUAACACCCACAAAUUAUAUGGAUAGUGAUUAAGGACAGCACAGAAUAGCAUUUCGAUCUCCUCUGCUUUGAAACACCAUGCCUUUCAAACAGAGAGAUGAAUUUUGAUUGCCUAACAACUGUAACCAUGUGUAGGUUCAUCACAAUGGAAAGAAGAAGAGCUCUGAAAAGCCUUGAUAAAAAAUACUGAGCUGGUAGGCCUAUCUGACUGCAUUUUACUUCUUGCUGUUGUUAUAACAGCAAGAAUGCUAUCAGAUUAAAGGUUUAAAAGGUGUUGGUAAUUUGUCAGCUUCAUGUGGUCGUCUUCUAAAAAAUACCAUUUCUGGCUUCCUAAUUUUUUAUACCAUUCAGAAACUUCUCUGUAUAAUACUGUGUUUAUAAAACCAACAUGUCAGUCUGUGUUUGUUUCUUGUAAGCAAAAAAUCCUGAGCACAAUGUACACAAACAUUUCUGUAAACAUAUACAUAUAUAUAUCUGCAUUUUAACCUAUUAGCCAAACUCUAUUUUCUUCUGGGCAAUGUAAGUGUUCCAGAAGCACCUGACUAUCUGUUACAUCCAGUUUAAGUUGCCAUAAAUUGGCUGUGAUAGCAUAACAAAGGUGCUAAGUUAUGUUAUCAUAUAGCAAAGACCUUUUCUGACUCUGCAAAGGAAUUCAGGUAUGUAGAAGUGUAUAAAAGAUCUGUAUUGUGGAAAGGAAUAAGGAAAUGGCUUUCUGGUAACAAAAGUUCUGUUUUACAUGUAAUUCAAGAAGGUGUUUAUGUCCAUGCAUAAAUAAUCUAGUCGCAUUACUCUAUACUCUAAACAAGCUACACUGAGUAACAGAUGAAUGGUAACUUAGUUCAGGUGGAACUUUGUUUUAACAUAGAUGGACUGCUUAUAGUAUUAAAGAAGUCCCUAAGUAGGCCUAAUUACCCUAAGCUUGGUAAUUCAAAAAGUGAGCUAGCCAGGUGAGUACCUCUACCUUGUAUCAUCCUGAGCAAUGCAUUCCUUAAGACUAGGGAGGGCCAUGACUAGGCACUAAACUGAACAAGAAUUGACCUUGGCAGACACUGAAGUGCCUUCAGCUUUGCCAAAUCCUUACAGUGAAUUACCCAACUUCUCAGUAGAUCUGUCUAAUACUAUGUCAAAUGUGCUCUUAAGUUUCAAAGUAAUGUAAGAGUUGAAAACUCUCUGUCCUUGUAAGGGUACUAGAUAAAAUGCCUACGUCCUUAAGUAUCAAUACAAAGCCUUCACCUGAGGCCUCUCAUAACAGAACUCCUAAUGUUCAUGUCUUCUUUUUAUGCAAAAUGCAACUACUUUUCUUAGGGGGAAAAAACAGUGAAUGUCUGUGGAAAGGCUGGAGAGAGAGAGACUAGAAAGGCUCUUGUAUCCUGUGACCCAACAAAUAGAACCAGGUCUGACUGUAAUAAAACUCCAAUUACCUAACUCUAAGGGAGGAUAGCUGGCAUUUCUCUCUACCCAAUGAUUUAAUUGGGCCUGUCAGCCAGAGAUAAUUGGUUUCUGGUUGACUGAAAAAAGUGACAAUGACAUCAACUCUCUGCUACCCUUCAUUAUUGAAAUUCUUGCUUAUUUUAACAGGGCUUGAGCACACAGUGCACUCCUGUAGUAUUUACAGGUCUCUUGUGCAGUGCAGUGGAAAUGCAGCAAUGUAAGACAAAGAGAAACCAUUUCAAGCUGUUUAUCCCAUGUGUUUUCAGAACAGAAGGAUUUUUGAGAGCCAAGAUUAUAUCUGUACAGGAAAGUCUGGUUUUGCUUUUUUUUUUUUUAACCAGAAAUGUUAUAAUAUUGUUGCAGUCAUGACAGUCUACGGCUAUAAAUGAAGCAAGGUUUACAGGGAGAGGCAACAUCUUUUAUUAAUCCAACUGAUAUAGCUGGAAAAAUAACGAUUUUGGGCACAUGAACCCUUCUUCAGGUCUUGUCUCAAGGAGGAUUUUUGGCCCAAAGCUUGUCUGUUUUUUCCACAUAUGUCAUCUGAACUAAUAAAAGAUAUUGUAUUUCUCCCUAAGUCUUGCCUUGAUUAUAGCAGAAUGCUUCUUUGAUACUAAUGGUCUAGAUCAUAAAAGGUUUAAUUCUCCCUGUUGAAAGCGCAGUCCAAAAGAACAGAAAUUGGUGUAAAUCCCUGUUUCUUCUUUACACAACUUCAGGCAAGGGGUGUAGCCUUAAUUUUCAGUGAUUGUGUAACACUGCUUGAGAUUUUACAUCAGCAGAGAGGAAGACAAGGUACUUCUUCCACUAUGAAUCUCCUCCUUCAUUCAGCUUUCGGCUUACCCCCUCCCUUCCCAUAGGCUGCAGAACACUAGUGAAACAGGUGGAGCAAGGCAUAGAUGACAGCACAACAAGCACUGGCAGGAAUGUAUUAGGAGGGGCUUCUCCAGCUGGUAUAUUUGCAAAGUGCAAAGGGAAUGCAGGGCACCCAAGAGUCUACCUAUGGUUUUGAAUCCAGUGGUUUAGCAUUCAGUGUUCCAACAGGUUGACAUUAGGUUAUCUCAGUUCUGCAGUUCUUUAUUUUUAUUCAAUCCAUACUAGCUGACAGCACACACAAGGGGACAAAGAUCCUCUCUUCAGCAGAAACUGGAGAGAGCCCAAGUAGAAGUACUGUGUUUGUCCUUCCCUGGGUUACACUUCUUGGAUGGAGUGAGGUAGGCCAAUACAGUGAGACUGAAUCUGACCUGCUUCUCUACACAUUUCAGUUGCACUUUAGAGCAGAGAGAAGAGGACACCCUUGAUCAACAGGAUUCAGGUGCCAAACAUCUAUAAUAGUAUGACAAGGCUCCAAUUGGUUAGUGCUCCACAAAGAACUGAACUGAGGAACCGAGGUGGUCUUUUCAUGGUCUAUUUGAAAGAAUUUCUUGGCAAUGGUUCCAGCUAUGGACUCUAAUUCAACACUGUUGGCUAGAAAACUUGUUGAAGUCUCUAGACAAUCUUAUAACCCUUUCACUUCCCAGCCUAAUUUAAAACACUUGUGUGUAUGUGGUGACGGGCAAUAAAAAACAGAAAAAUCUCAGAACAGAGGAAGUACAGGCUUUGUGGGUUCCUCCCCAGAUCCCUCCCAUCACUGCUACAUGGAAGAAAGCACACAUCUGGGAUACAAAAUGUAUGAAUAACAACGUGGGUCAUCUUUCAGCAGUGUCAUACAGAGUGGCCAAAGUGAAGGUUGCUGUUUAGAAGGGGAUCUGACUGUUUACAGGAUUAGAUUUAUAGCUGGGUACUUACUGUGAACAGCUGUUACAGAAUAUUUGGGGAAUAAAUGGGACUUAUUCUGCCAGAUCCUUAAAUUUGCAUGCUAUUUUUUUGUAACUUAAUUUCUAUUUGGUUGGCAGCUGCAUGCUUACAAUCAGAGAUGAUACUCUAUCUGCUUAUUGCCUACACUGUAUUUGAUUCAAAGAUGUGUCAUUUCUAGUUUUGUUAUAACUUAGAAGUGAAAAUUUUGAGCUGGAGAACAAGUAUUUCAAGAUGAAAUCACCUUCUCCUCUGCAUAAAGCUGUCUCUUCUUAAUUUCCAAUACUUCAAGAAUGCUUGUUUA